CAGCUCAAGCAAUCAGGCUUUCUUUGUAUUAGCUGAAAAACAAGGAAAUCGCACAUCCACGCCUAACUGCCUCACACCUGUGCUUGCAAAAGUGGCAGAAGCACUGAGCAUCUUGUGACUAAUCUGGAAAAUUGUCUACUUCAAGCAAAGUGACUUUCAGUGUUUCAGCUUCCUGGUGGAGAUGACAUUUGCUCAGCUAGAGAAUAGACACUUUCUAGCUGAGUUGCUCAUCACACUGAUACCCUAAGGCCUGGCUGAUUGGCUGUCAGAGGACUCCAGCUGUUUAGCUGCCGUGAUAUGUCUUUCAUAGGAAAAGACAUUUCCUGGAACAUCAACAGCUUGUUAAGGACUGGGGAGUGCAGGGGAGAAAUUUUAAAAUUUUGGAGGAACUGAGUGUUUUGAACUUGGAGGAGGCAUGAAGAUGAAACAGAGAAAGGGAUGAAGGGGAGACUUUUCCCUCUUCUGUGUUUGAAAGACUCAUUU
rnacentral:lncRNA from 1 species